GACGAACGCUGGCGGCGUGCUUAACACAUGCAAGUCGAACGGAAAGGCCCUGCUUUUGUGGGGUGCUCGAGUGGCGAACGGGUGAGUAACACGUGAGUAACCUGCCCUUGACUUUGGGAUAACUUCAGGAAACUGGGGCUAAUACCGGAUAGGAGCUCCUGCUGCAUGGUGGGGGUUGGAAAGUUUCGGCGGUUGGGGAUGGACUCGCGGCUUAUCAGCUUGUUGGUGGGGUAGUGGCUUACCAAGGCUUUGACGGGUAGCAGGCCUGAGAGGGUGACCGGCCACAUUGGGACGGAGAUACGGCCCAGACUACAACGGGAGGCAGCAGUGGGGAAGAUUGCACAAUGGGCGGAAGCCUGAUGCAGCAACGCCGCGUGCGGGAUGACGGCCUUCGGGUUGUAAACCGCUUUCGCCUGUGACGAAGCGUGAGUGACGGUAAUGGGUAAAGAAGCACCGGCUAACUACGUG
rnacentral:rRNA from 1 species